AUUUAAAUAGCUUAAUUAUAAGAGUGUAAUAUUGAAGAUAUUAAGGUAAUCUCAUGAUUUUUAAAUA
rnacentral:tRNA from 1 species